rnacentral:rRNA from 1 species
UACGUAGGGGGCUAGCGUUGUCCGGAAUCAUUGGGCGUAAAGCGCGUGUAGGCGGUCCGGUAAGUCCGCUGUGAAAGUCGGGGGCUCAACCCUCGGAUGCCGGUGGUUACUGUCGGGCUUGAGUACGGAAGAGGCGAGUGGAAUUCCUGGUGUAGCGGUGAAAUGCGCAGAUAUCAGGAGGAACACCAAUUGCGAAGGCAGCUCGCUGGGACGUUACUGACGCUGAGACGCGAAAGCGUGGGGAGCAAACAGG